AUUGCUAUUGGAGUCCGAUUUAGCCAUGCUAGUUGUACGAGUUUAGACUCGUAGCAGAUAGCUCAGUAACACGUGGCCAAACUACCCUCUGGAGCGCGACAACCUCGGGAAACUGAGGCUAAUCGUGCAUACCGCUCUCACGCUGGAAGUUGCGGAGAGCUCGAAACGCUCCGGCGCCAGAGGAUGUGGCUGCGGCCGAUUAGGUAGACGGUGGGGUAACGGCCCACCGUGCCAGUAAUCGGUACGGGUUGUGAGAGCAAGAGCCCGGAGACGGUAUCUGAGACAAGAUACCGGGCCCUACGGGGCGCAGCAGGCGCGAAACCUUUACACUGCACGCCAGUGCGAUAAGGGGACUCCAAGUGCGAGGGCAUAGAGCCCUCGCUUUUCACGACCGUAAGGAGGUCGUAGAAUAAGUGCUGGGCAAGACCGGUGCCAGCCGCCGCGGUAAUACCGGCAGCACGAGUGAUGGCCGCUCUUAUUGGGCCUAAAGCGUCCGUAGCUGGCCGCGCAAGUCCAUCGGGAAAUCCGCACGCUCAACGUGCGGGCGUCCGGUGGAAACUGCGUGGCUUGGGACCGGAAGAUCCAGAGGGUACGUCCGGGGUAGGAGUGAAAUCCUGUAAUCCUGGACGGACCACCGGUGGCGAAAGCGCUCUGGAAAGACGGAUCCGACGGUGAGGGACGAAAGCUCGGGUCACGAACCGGAUUAGAUACCCGGGUAGUCCGAGCUGUAAACGAUGUCUGCUAGGUGUGCCACAGGCUACGAGCCUGUGGUGUGCCGUAGGGAAGCCGUGAAGCAGACCGCCUGGGAAGUACGUCCGCAAGGAUGAAA
rnacentral:rRNA from 1 species